rnacentral:lncRNA from 1 species
GAUGGGUUUAGUUUUCGGGAAACAGUAUGAACUGGAGUCUAAUAACAACGUUGAGUCGGAAUGCUUGAAGGGUUUGGUUGAAGAGGGGUACGAUCUUCUCGGUACACUUAACUGGACCGACCACCUUCCUUGGUUAGGCGGUCUAGAUUUUCAACAAGUCCGGUUCAGAUGCUCUCAGCUUGUACCGAAAGUAAACCAGUUAUUGAGCCGAAUCAUUCAUGAACACCGUGCACCUACGUGCAGUUUUCUCGACGUGUUACAUUCUCUUCAUGAUUCAGAAAAAUUAUCAGAAUCCGACAUGGUCGCUGUUCUUUGGGUACGUAAACAUUAUAUAAUUCUUGUAAUAUGUAGAACAUGGACAUUAAUAUUUCAAAUUUUUGGUCCCUUUAGGAAAUGAUAUUUAGGGGGACGGACACAGUGGCCGUGCUGAUCGAGUGGGUGCUAGCGAGGAUUGUAAUGCAUCCUAAAGUUCAGUCAACGGUCCACGAUGAGCUUGACCGAGUCGUUGGCAGAUCCAAAGCCGUUGAUGAGUCUGACCUCCCAUCUCUCACGUAUCUAACGGCUAUGAUCAAAGAAGUGUUGAGGCUGCAUCCACCAGGCCCACUUCUCUCUUGGGCUCGUCUCUCCAUAACGGACACCACCGUAGACGGAUAUCACGUGCCGGCUGGGACCACCGCGAUGGUCAACAUGUGGGCUAUAGCACGUGAUCCACACGUGUGGGAGAAUCCUUUGGAGUUUAAGCCUGAGAGGUUCGUGGCAAAAGAGGGUGAAGCUGAGUUCUCUGUUCUCGGGUCGGAUAUGAGGUUGGCACCCUUCGGGUCGGGUAAGAGAGUUUGCCCGGGAAAGAAUUUGGGGCUUGCGACGGUUUCGUUUUGGGUUGCAACGCUCUUGCAUGAGUUUGAGUGGCUUUCUAGUGUCAACGCUAACCCUCCUGAUCUUUCAGAUGUUUUGAGGCUGUCGUGCGAGAUGGCUUGUCCUCUUGUCGUUAACUUACGCUCAAGGCGUAAGAUAGCAUAAGCUUCGGUUUAGUCAAUGCACGAAUGCUUCAAAGUUAUUGGCAAAUUAAAAAAACACGUAUUCUAAUAAAACCUGGAAAACUGAUAUGUAUGCAAAGUCCAAAGUGCGAUGUAUAUUCGCCCAUCUUUUAUUGAUUAAGGGAACAUAUUAAUGUAUUUGUAUUAUAUGAAAUAAAUUUAAUAUAUGUUUCAUGCGUACGGUUUGAUGGUGAGUAAUGUUGUUAAUUUUAUUAACCAACGCAGUAGUACGGUAGUCUCGGCUCUAAAAAAACUUAAACACGUUUCAGUUUUACGUGGGCCAUUUGGUUAUUUGAACUUAAACUCAUGUGUUUGUUUCGUUAUGAACUAGUGAGAAAUUCCUUGUAAAAAUUUGUUGGCGUGAGUCGCAUGUUUCGGCUAACCUUCGGUAUGCAAUGCUAAAUCUACAGAAAAUACAAUUUGUACAUUAACUAGUGGUCGCUAUUUAAUUUAACUUAACUAACUUUUCUUAGAUAUAAGAGUUCUAAGAUAUUGGUAAUAUAUAACUAAUUAAAGUUCACUUAUCUUCAAAUGAAUUCAACGAUCAUCCUAGGAAUUAUUCCACUUAACUAAAAUAAAUAACUCUAUACUUCGCGUGUUGAACGAUUAACUGAAUUAUCUUCUCCAGCUUUAAUUAUAUCCUACUCCCAAUUGUAUAAAAUAAUAUGCUUAAUUUGCUACGAAGUUUCUUAGAAGAGCUAGGUCAGUCAACGAUUUUACUAAUGAAACAAGCAUUUGGCUGAAAUUGUGUAUAAUAGGUGUCGUCGUCGAGUGUUCGACUCAGCUAGUGUUUCUGGUUGUUCCAUUACGUGAUCUCAUUAACGCUUGUGUAAUGGACUUAUCACUUCUGAACUUCUAGCAUUUUUAUUUUGUUGUUGACCAACGCAUUAGUCCUCUUAUAUCAGUUUGUUUAUUUAACAUUCGGCAAAUACAUAUCUGACUUCCACUUUUGUUGGUGAAAACAACUUAAACACAUAUCUGACUGCUUACAAACUGUUAAGGUGAUAAAAGAAGAUAAAAAGAUUAGCCGAUUUGACAAUCUGAGAUAGAUGAUUUCUUAUAUUUUUGUUUUACUUUUAUAGAAUUUUUUCCUAUUUCUUUCAGUGCUCAACUCCUUGCUAAAAGAAUCGCAUUUUCUGGAUAAAUGUUAUUGAGUAUGAAUUAAGUCAUGAGGCUUGCCUACUUGAAUUAACGUAUAAUAUAUGGAAUUAUUUGCCAUUAAAAAAUAUUGACACUGAGUCAUUGGCGUUAAGUGGAUAAUCAUGAAUAAUGCAGUUAAUAAAUUUCUUUUACAUGCUACCACAAAGUAUAUACGGCAAUACCGAAUUACAAACUUUGUGUAAAACAACUGUUGGUCAAGACCUCUGUUUACCAGAUGAAAUCGAAAACCCAGAUUCACACAAAACUCUCGGCUCUCUUUUUGGGGGUGGGGAGGAAGAAGGAGAAAGGGGUCUCUUCAGAUUUGUGGUCUGGUUUGGUUUAAUCUGGAGGAGACGACUGCUUUUUCGCAUCUACUGUUGAAUCAUUUUUAAUUAAUUAAUUGUAUCAUUUGGAUCUUUUCAGGAGCUCUCGUUAUAAGAGGCCCUGGUUGAUUUUUAGCCCAUUGUUUUCACAUCUUUAUCUUGUCCUCUUUAUUGGGCCCUGCAGAUUUUUGUUGUUAUAUUCGAAAGAUUGAUGGUUUUUUGGUCCAGAAAUAUUGAUGUUUUAGAAUUUUAAUUGAUGUGUUUUACUUUAAAACUAAAACAUAUACUAUUUAAAUAUAAAAAUAUGAUUAUCUGAAAUUUAUUAGAAAACAUAUAAAAAUUUAAACUAAAAUAAGAGAAAUUUCCUAGGAUAGUCUUUUAAAAAACAAAUUGUCACAAAAAUAGCCCUGAAAAUGACCAAAAUAAGUUUUACCCUAGAGUUAACCAAUUUAAACUUAGGGUUUAGAGUUAAAUAGUGAAGUUUUGGGGAUAUAAUUUCAAAUUAAAAUUAAAAUAAAAAUAAAAAAUAAAUGUUAAAAUUUUCAAAAUAAAAAAAGGACUAUUUUGAUUUUUUUUUUUUUUUUGAAGGUUAUUUUUGUGACAAAAACUUAAAAAUUGUUAUUUACAAAAACUUAAAAAUGGUUAUUUGAGAGAAUUGCCUUAAAAUAAAACUAGCAAGUAAAGAUAAAAAUAAAAAUUAAUUUUUUUGUGUGAAUAAUCUUAAUUUACAUAUUUAAUUUUUCAAUUUUGGUGACAUUUACAACGAAAUAAAACAGAUAUUUAUUCAUUUAGGAUGUUGUCUUGUUCGAAAAAACAAUCCAACCGAUUAAUUUUUUUGUCUUAUACAAUCAAUAAAUUUAAUUUCAAGCAACAAGAAUGAAAAGAAAGAAAGGGACCAAAAAAAGCAAUAAAUUCAUACAUGAGGGAGGAGUAGAGAACAACCAACAAUUGAUAGAUCAUAAGAGCUUUUUAGUUGGUCUCUCCAGACAAAAUGUGGGUUUCAUAUUGAAUCAAUCAAUUGUUUUAGCAAAAUAAUAAUACUAGUAAAGAUCUUUUUCUUUAAUUAUGUCGGUUCAUGCUCACAGCUAUAUUAACAUUGUAUAUUCAUUUAAAGCUAUAUUAAGAGUAUUAAAAGAACGAACAGAGAGCAUCGUUGCUGUCUUCACAAAACAAGAUCGGCUCAAACCGUUUUUCUUCCCACUUUCUCUGUUUCACUGACUCUCCACUUACUCAAACAGAAAGGUAGUCAAAACUUUACUGAGUUUUUCCUCUUCAUCGACCCAGUUCCACCUCAACAAUGAACGAAGAGAUGAGCGGAGAGACGCCGGAGAAUAAACAUGUAAGUAGACCAACAUUGCCGGAAAAGAUCGACUACGUGUUCAAGGUGGUAGUGAUUGGUGACUCUGCGGUCGGAAAAACGCAGCUCCUUUCACGUUUUACACAGAACGAGUUCUGUUACGACUCAAAGUCCACCAUUGGUGUCGAGUUUCAGACACGUACGAUCACUCAUCAAGGCAAGCUCGUUAAAGCUCAGAUCUGGGAUACCGCCGGUCAAGAAAGGUAAAUGUCUAUCUACAUCUAUACACACAUUUAACUAUUCUUACAAAGCUGAAUCUCAGGUUGGCUUUCAAAUUAAAUUGUUUACAUAUUUUAAAGUAUAGUUUAUUUUUCUUGGAUCACGACAUUUAGAUAUGAUUUGAUUUGAUUUCCGAUCUACUUAUAAUCAUUGAUUAUACGUUUUUUUUUUUAAACUAUUGGUUUUCUAACUAUUUUGUUAUUAGAACUAAUCAAUGAGUUGUUUUACUGCGUUUUCGGAGAUUAGAUACAGAGCGGUGACAAGCGCGUAUUACAGAGGCGCGUUAGGUGCUAUGGUCGUUUACGACAUAACUAAACGCGUCUCCUUCGACCACGUGGCACGUUGGGUUGAGGACUUGCGAGCUCACGCCGACGACUCCGCCGUGAUUAUGCUCGUCGGAAACAAAGCCGACCUUGCCGCCGAUAAACGCGCCGUCACGACAGAAGACGCCGUCGAGUUCGCCGAGACUCAUCGGCUAUUCUUCUCGGAAGUCUCGGCUCUAAGCGGCGGGAACGUCGACGAAGCUUUUUUCCGUCUGCUAGAGGAGAUUUUCAGCCGCGUUGUUGUUGCGAGAAAAGCUCUGGAAUGUCAGAAUGGGACUACCGCGAAACUUGACGGUUCGAGAAUUGAUGUGAUCAUCUCUGGUUCUGAUCUUGAGACUGGUAAGACGAAUGAACCAGCUUCGUGCUCGUGUUGAUUUUGAGUUUUGAGUGAUGGACUCAAGUAUGGGCCAGAAACCUCGAGACAUAGUGGGACUUUUUUUUUAAUAUCAUUUUACCCAUGUCUUUGUUUAUGGGCUUUUUAUAUAUUUUGUGAAUUGGUGGUACUUAUUCGAUACCGUCUAAAAACUAUUCAUGUCAUAUUUGAUAUCUUUUUUUCUACACCAUUUAUAAUAUUCAUUUAAUAUUAUUGUAUAUGCAAAAAUGGAAGUAUUUUAUACCUUAAACAAACAUUUGAAAUUAUUGACGUUCUUUUUUUUUUGCGCAAACUGAUUUCCAUUAAAUUGAAAAGCUUAAGUUGGGUUUAAGGCCCAUAAAACAUGUUUGACUAUAGAAUCGGCUCAAAGCUCUAGAAAUGAAAGUAAACUUGAUUAUUUUAAAUGAGAACGAUAGGAAAUAGAUGUCACGAAGAAUGCCCUAGAUUUCUAACUUCAUCUCAUGUAUGUUUAUCAUGUUGAUGAGGACAUAAGAAUCAUAAAGCACAGUGAUGAAGUCGAAUCCGUGAUUGAGGGCAAAGUUUAUGGCUGUGAAUACUGCCAUAGUUUCUGCCAUAAGAGCGAGGAGACAAAAGUCUAAGUCGCUGGAUGCUGACGUACAAAUGACAAAAAUUACACGAAAACUGCAUUGCAAAAAGCUUUCUAAUUGCUGUUAUUAGCUGUAAGUCUGUAUAUAUAUAUGCAACUAAUUAAAUCUCAGUUAAAUUUCUAAAGCCACUGUCACGCGAUUUUUAAAAUGACAAUCAAACCUUUUCACUAUAAAUAUUUCACACAUAAGUACUUUACUGUUCUUUGUUUUUUUUCGUCAACAGCUGUUCUUCGUUAAUAGGUUUUCUUCAGCUGUUAUAUGUUAUUACUUAUGAGGAACUGGUAUUACAUAUAGAGAAAAUAUAGAUCGAGAACACCAAAUUAUCAUAAAUAUGGAACUUUGUGAUUAUUAAAAAGUUUUGUUAUACGAUUUUAUGUUCUUUUAAAAGUGUUUAAUGGGGUUGAUUGUAUGAUCACAAUAUAGGUUAUACAUGAUCGUGCGUUCACCCACUCUGAUAUGAUUGUUCAUGGGGAGUUUUGUAUAGAAUUAAGUGAAAUUAUUAGAAUUUACAAUAAGAUCACUAAGCAGAUAUUUUCAUAAUAUUUUUUUAUAAACCCUAUCGGCUGAUCCGGUCGGCCCCGGGAGGAACGCGAUUAGUGAAAUAUUUUCAUAAUAUUUUUCAUGACAUCAACUGUGAGUGUCACUUAGAAUCUCGAAUAUAAUCCAAAUCCGACAUAAGAUAUGAUUCUCUUAUUUUUGCAUUCAACCGAAUAAUCUGAAGUGCUCCAAUCGCAAACUCGUUUUCUCGCCCAUGACCUAAAAAUGGUCUUUUAUAUAAUGCGCAUAUGAUUAAUCCGCCACCAAAGUGCUUUGUGACCACUUAUUUACUUAUUUAUAUGCUGAUAACUCUGUGUUAUGUGUAAAGUUACUAAUUAGUUUAAUAUUUAUAAGCAAGAGUAAGAUUCUCAUGAUAAACAUUUAAAUUAGUAUCUCCAGUAUGAUUGUAUUCAAUAAGUAUUAGCUGAAUUAAGCUAGUUGAUAGUAUAUCAUAAUUUUGACAAAUUUAACGUAACAAUUUUCAUAAUCAUUUACUGCUGUUAGAAACCUGUGUUAUAAUUAUAACUUUCCUUUUUGGGUCAAAAUUACAACUUUCUAUACAUAAAAGAGAUAACUUAAAGGAAAGGCAGUUGACUUGAGAAUAUAAAGUCAAUUGGAGAGCAAUUUGCAGGAGAAAAGUCAUAAAAGUCGUACAUUCGCCACUUGUAAUUAACAAGAGAAUCAUCGGAAAAUGGCAUCUUUGAAAAUAAUAUUGGUAAUUACGUAUACAUAUUGUUUAUAAUUUUUUAAAAAUAUAUUAUUUAUAUUGUUUUUAAGCAUAUAUCGUCUUUUGUUAUUAAGCACUACGUUAAGAUAUGCAAGUUACUUUAUUAAGAUGCAUAUAUACUCACUUCUAUUACAUAUAUAUGGUAAUAUAUAUAUGUUUCUAAAACAUAGUAUUAUAUAUGCAAACAAAGUAGAAUAUUAAUCAAUUUUAAAACUAGUUACAAUUUUUAAAAAAAAAUUAGACAACUUUUUACAAAUGAAACCAAUGGGACAGGUGUAGGAAUAGUGUCUUCAAUAUGUGUAUAGAUUAGAAAAUCUUUUGAGGAUAUAGUCAUUUGAGUGUAGCAAACAUAACAUGACAUAUGCAUAUGAUGACCACAAGUGCAUAUUGGCAGCAUAUACCCGUUUGAGCACCUACAUAUAACUUUGAACUAAUAAAUAUUUAAAUGUAUAUGAAAAACCUUUCGAAUGAUAAAUGAUUAAAUUUUAAACCAAACUAUGAUCUGGCAUUGGCUAAUAGCUUCACACUUCGUUGGCACGUCUAUUUAAAGCUUCACAAAGACGCGAACUUAAAUCACAACCCGAAAACGAAAAAUAUCACAAGAAAAGAAAAAAAAACCAUUUAUUCAGUAUGUUUUCUCUGGGUAUGAGAACCGAAAUAGAAAAUCUGUGGGUCUUUGCUCUUGCAUCAAAAUGCAAUAUUUUCAUUCAAGAACAUUUUAUUUCUCUUCUCAUCGCCGUAGCCAUCACUUGGUUUACCUUCACCAUCGUAUUUUGGUCUACACCUGGUGGACCGGCUUGGGGAAGAUACUUUUUCACUCGCCGGUUUACUUCCGGCUGUAACCAAAAAAACAAGAAUCUCAUUCCCGGUCCGAGAGGGUUUCCACUCGUGGGAAGCAUGAGCCUAAGGUCAAGCCGCGUAGCUCACCAGCGCAUAGCAGCAGUGGCUGCGAUGAGAAACGCCAAGCGGCUCAUGGCGUUUAGCCUCGGUGAUACCAAGGUGAUGGUGACGUGUCAUCCUGACGUGGCAAAGGAGAUACUGAACAGCUCGGUGUUUGCAGACCGACCUGUUGACGAAACCGCUUAUGGUUUGAUGUUUAACCGAGCCAUGGGAUUUGCUCCAAGUGGUGCUUACUGGCGCACGCUACGUCGGUUAGGUUCGAACCAUCUUUUUAACCCAAAGCAAAUCAAACGCUCGGAGGAGCAGAGACGAGUGAUCGCGACUCAGAUGGUGAAUGUAUUUGCACGUAACGCUGAAACCGCGUUUGGAGUACGUGAUUUGCUAAAAACGGCGUCGUUGUCUAACAUGAUGGGUUUAGUUUUCGGGAAACAGUAUGAACUGGAGUCUAAUAACAACGUUGAGUCGGAAUGCUUGAAGGGUUUGGUUGAAGAGGGGUACGAUCUUCUCGGUACACUUAACUGGACCGACCACCUUCCUUGGUUAGGCGGUCUAGAUUUUCAACAAGUCCGGUUCAGAUGCUCUCAGCUUGUACCGAAAGUAAACCAGUUAUUGAGCCGAAUCAUUCAUGAACACCGUGCACCUACGUGCAGUUUUCUCGACGUGUUACAUUCUCUUCAUGAUUCAGAAAAAUUAUCAGAAUCCGACAUGGUCGCUGUUCUUUG